rnacentral:rRNA from 1 species
UUACGAGGUCAGGACACUGUGAGGAUUGACAGAUUGAAAGCUCCUUCUUGAUUCAGUGGGUGGUGGUGCAUGGCCGUUCUUAGUUGGUGGAGUGAUUUGUCUGGUUAAUUCCGUUAACGAACGAGACCUUAACCUGCUAAAUAGUCACGCGAACCGGUCCGCAAGGGCUCAAAGUUCGCGGCUCGACUUCUUAGAGGGACUAUUCGCACCCGCCAGCGAAUGGAAGUUUGAGGCAAUAACAGGUCUGUGAUGCCCUUAGAUGUUCUCGGCCGCACGCGCGUUACACUGACGGAGUCAACGAGCGUUUUUCCUUGCCCGACAGGGCUGGGUAACCUCCUGAAACUCCGUCGUGAUGGGGAUAGAUCAUUGCGAUUAUUGAUCUUGAACGAGGAAUUCCUAGUAAGCGCGAGUCAUCAACUCGCGCUGAUUACGUCCCUGCCCUUUGUACACACCGCCCGUCGCUCCUACCGAUUGAACGGUCCGGCGAGAACUCCGGAUGGUC